GCAUAUCAAUAAGCGGAGGAAAAGAAACCAACAGGGAUUGCCCUAGUAACGGCGAGUGAAGCGGCAACAGCUCAAAUUUGAAAUCUGGCGUCUUUGGCGUCCGAGUUGUAAUUUGCAGAGGGCGCUUUGGCAUUGGCAGCGGUCCAAGUUCCUUGGAACAGGACGUCACAGAGGGUGAGAAUCCCGUACGUGGUCGCUAGCCUUUACCGUGUAAAGCCCCUUCGACGAGUCGAGUUGUUUGGGAAUGCAGCUCUAAAUGGGAGGUAAAUUUCUUCUAAAGCUAAAUACUGGCCAGAGACCGAUAGCGCACAAGUAGAGUGAUCGAAAGAUGAAAAGCACUUUGGAAAGAGAGUUAAAAAGCACGUGAAAUUGUUGAAAGGGAAGCGCUUGCAGCCAGACUUGCCUGUAGUUGCUCAUCCGGGUUUUUACCCGGUGCACUCUUCUAUAGGCAGGCCAGCAUCAGUUUGGGCGGUUGGAUAAAGGUCUCUGUCACGUACCUCCUCUCGGGGAGAACUUAUAGGGGAGACGUAAUGCAACCAGCCUGGACUGAGGUCCGCGCAUCUGCUAGG
rnacentral:rRNA from 1 species